rnacentral:rRNA from 1 species
GGGUUUGAUCCUGGCUCAGGAUGAACGCUGGCGGCGUGCUUGAUACAUGCAAGUCGAACGGACCGGCUAGGGGCUCAAGUUCUGAAAGUUGUAGCGGGUAAGAAAUUGCUCAAAGCGACGGAAGGGAUAGAGGCUUCGGUGCUGGUUAGUGGCGGACGGGUGAGUAACACGUGGGUAAUCUGCCCCAAAGUGGGGAACAACUGUUCGAAAGAGCAGCUAAUUCCGCAUGUGCUCUUGCGCGAGAGGAGACUCUCGCGAGAGAGGAAAGGUUUUCGGAUCGCUUUGGGAUGAGCUCGCGGCCGAUUAGCUAGUUGGUGGGGUAAAGGCCUACCAAGGCGAUGAUCGGUAGCUGGUCUGAGAGGAUGAUCAGCCACACUGGGACUGAGACACGGCCCAGACUCCUACGGGAGGCAGCAGUAAGGAAUAUUGCACAAUGGGGGAAACCCUGAUGCAGCAACGCCGCGUGGGCGAUGAAGGCCUUCGGGUUGUAAAGCCCUUUUCUGUGGGAAGAGACAAGGACGGUACCACAGGAACAAGUCUCGGCUAACUACGUGCCAGCAGCCGCGGUAAAACGUAGGAGGCGAGCGUUAUCCGGAUUUACUGGGCGUAAAGGGCAAGUAGGCGGUAGCCAAAGUUGGGUGUGAAAUCUCCUGGCUUAACUAGGAGGGGGCGCUCAAAAACUAGGUUACUAGAGGGCAGAAGAGGGGGGUGGAACUCCUAGUGUAGCGGUGGAAUGCUCAGAUAUUAGGAAGAACACCAGUGGCGAAGGCGACCCCCUGGUCUGUGCCUGACGCUGAGAGGCGAAAGCUAGGGUAGCAAACGGGCUUAGAUACCCCGGUAGUCCUAGCUGUAAACGUUGGAUACUAGGUAUUGGGGGUGAUAAACUCCCUCAGUGCCGAAGCAAACGCGUUAAGUAUCCCGCCUGGGGACUACGGCCGCAAGGUUAAAACUCAAAGGAAUUGACGGGAGCCCGCACAAGCAGCGGAGCGUGUGGUUUAAUUCGACGAUACACGAAGAACCUUACCUGGGUUUGACAUAUACGUAGUAGCGACCCGAAAGGGGAGCGAGCCUUCGGGCAGCGUAUACAGGUGCUGCAUGGCUGUCGUCAGCUCGUGCCGUGAGGUGUCGGGUUAAGUCCCGCAACGAGCGCAACCCUCGUUGCUAGUUAUACUUUACUAGCGAGACUGCCGGCAUAUAACCGGAGGAAGGUGGGGAUGACGUCAAGUCAGCAUGGCCUUUAUAUCCAGGGCUACACACACGCUACAAUGGUCGGUACAAAGGGUCGCGAAGCCGUGAGGCGGAGCCAAUCUCAGAAAGCCGGCCCCAGUUCAGAUUGCAGGCUGCAACCCGCCUGCAUGAAGUUGGAGUUGCUAGUAACCGCAGGUCAGCAAUACUGCGGUGAAUACGUUCCCGGGCUUUGUACACACCGCCCGUCACGUCAUGGGAGCUGGCAAUACCUGAAGUCGGUGAGCUAACUGUAAAGGGGCAACUGCCGAAGGUAGGGCUAGUGACUGGGACGAAGUCGUAACAAGGUA